UCCGGUUUGUCACCGGCAGUCAGCUUAGAGGGCCCACCAUUACGUGCUGGCAACUAAGCUCAAGGGUUGCGCUCGUUGCGGGACUUAACCCAACAUCUCACGACACGAGCUGACGACAACCAUGCACCACCUGUCACCUUUGUCCCGAAGGAAAGCUCUAUCUCUAGAGCGGUCAAAGGGAUGUCAAGACCUGGUAAGGUUCUUCGCGUUGCUUCGAAUUAAACCACAUACUCCACUGCUUGUGCGGGUCCCCGUCAAUUCCUUUGAGUUUCAUUCUUGCGAACGUACUCCCCAGGCGGAAUGCUUAAUGUGUUAACUUCGGCACCAAGGGCAUCGAAGCCCCUAACACCUAGCAUUCAUCGUUUACGGCGUGGACUAC
rnacentral:misc_RNA from 1 species